rnacentral:tRNA from 1 species
GCUCACGUGGCGGAAUUGGUAGACGCGCUACCUUGAGGGGGUAGUGUCCUACGGACGUGCUGGUUCGACUCCAGUCGUGAGCACUA